GGCCACUGUAUAAAGCAAUCAAUAAAAUAUUAUGUUUUACACAGGUUUACCUGAAACUCCUGAUUUAGUUUUUUCUCGAUCCAGUCUGUGACAUGAGCAAAUGUAACCUCUCUCUCUCCCAGUUUGGGCCGAGCUUUCAGCUCCAGGUUACAUAUACCAUAUCCUGUCAGUUGGAGGUGGUGGGAUGUUGACAGCGAGAGUUCCUCGACACUCCUGCACCUCCACCGUGAGGAGCAGAGGAGUAUUAGACACCUCCUCUAUCUUCUUCUUGAUGAACUCAGUCUCUGUGGCUUUCUGGAAAUACUUGGACUUUGUGAUUUUGUCCACAAAGCGCAUGAUUUUACUGGGUUCAAUUACAGAGGUCUGAGUGUUGGGAACUGACGCUCAUGUGUCUCUGGAGAUAUCUGCGUGGGAAUUAAUCCAUUUAAUAAAGAAAAUUUCCCAGUUAAACGACCAUGUGUAUUUAUUUAUUUAUUUAUUUAUUUUUGGGUUAAUAUAAUAAUAAAACAACUGUUGCCUUUUCUACAAAAGUUUUCUUGGUCACAAAUGUAACCAGUGGGAAAUUUUGCACAUAUGGUCAAGAUUAACAAAAAGGCAAACGUUAUUUAAUUUAAUUUUUAAUAAUUUUUUACUAAAAGGCAAUUGUGGGGGGAAAUAAAUAAAUCAAAUAGACCCUUUAAAUAUUAUAUGCACUAAAUAUGGUUUUUGUAUCUGUAUCAUUGUGUAAUUCUUACGAAACCCGUCAAGAAAAUAUCCUGAUCCUUUUCUACUCCAAAAUCAAAAGAAACCAAUGAUUAGAUUUUGCAUAUAAGAGAAUUAAGUCCAUUUUCAGGACCAUUAGCAUUGGCAAUGUGAAACAAGAUGGCCAUUAUGAUAUUCUCAUUACCACAAUGCAAAGGAAAAAAAAUUAUAUAAUAAUUAUAUAUAUAUAUAUAAUUUAAAUUGUAAAGUAUAUCUGCAACAGAGUUACUCCCUUGGUACUGCCUUUUAUUGAUUUUACUGAUUGCUGAUUUAAAAAAUAAAUCAAUGAACAAAAGCAUCUUUUAUGUGUUGCAAGUAAUGAGAAUCAUCACUGAAAACAAUGGGAAUAGUUCAAGUAAUGGGGGGUAAAAUGAGGCUCUGGUCAUGUGACUAUUUGCACCAUCAAUGUAAAAAUGUUCACAUGAAAUCAAGACUGACUGCACCUUUAUUUAUAGUUGACAACUCAAAAUACCUCAACAACUGUUUUUAGACCCUCGAAACUGAGAACCACAUUUAAUCACAAAUGUGACCGGUGGGAUGAAAAGGAAAUGGAAGGACGUACAGUUGAAAUCAGAAAUUUACAUACACUUAGGUUGAAGUAAUUAAAACUAAUUUUUUUAACCACUCCACAGAUUUAAUAUUAGCAAACUAUAGUUUUGGCAAGUCAUUUAGGACAUCUACUUUGUGUAUGACACAAGUCAUUUUUCAACAAUUGUUUACAGACAGAUUACUUCACUUUUAAUUGACUAUAUCACAAUUCCAGUGGGUCAGAAGUUUACAUACACUAAGUUAACUGUGCCUUUAAGCAGCUUGGAAAAUUCCAGAAAAUGAUGUCAAGCCUUUAGACAAUUAGACAAUUAGCUUCUGAUAGGAGGUGUACUGAAUUGGACAUGUACAUGUGGAUGUAUUUUAAGGCCUACCUUCAAACUCAGGGACCAUUUACACGACAACGUUUUCAACUAAAAACGGAAAACUUUUUAUGCGUUUCGGCUGUUCGUUUACACGACAACGGCGUUUUGGGGCCUGAAAUGCAAACUUUUGAAAACGUGUUUCAAAGUGCAAGUUUUUGAAAAUGAUGCUGUUAUCAUCUCCGUGUAAACAUACAAAAACGCAAAUUUGUGAAAACGAUGAUGUCAUGCGCAUGCGUAUUACGUGUUAUAUAAAGAAUGAUGGAUUGAUAGGCAUCAAUUUGAGAUGUAUAAUUAUCAAUAUGAAUACUGGUGUCUGUGCAAAUAACAAUAAUCAACAAUUAAUUAAUUUGGAGUGUUUUGUAUGGAGUGUGAACAUUGUACAGUAGGCGGAACCUGCAAUUUGAAAAUCUUGAAAUUAAUGUAUGGAUUCAGAUGGGAAAAAUGUAUUUGUAUUUUAAAUGUUAUUUAUUUAUUUAUUUACUUAAGUUUAUUUGAUGUACCUUUACCCUGCAAUUCAUUCACCCACCGCUUAUGUAUACAGCCUAUAGACAGAGAUGUGAUGCCAUGUAUUCAAUGAUAUGCUUAGAAUAUGAAAACGAGGCAGUGAAAAUGCAUGUUAGAUCCAGUGUACAGAAGACCUCUGUCUCCGUCAGAAGAUAUCCAUAUAUCAGAGUUCUGUCUGAUAUCCAAAACCAGUCAAUAUCAACAGCUUAUGUUAACUUACUCUCCUACCAGCCCAAGAGUCAGCAGGGGGAAUACAGAAGAAGGCAGGAGACGAAGUGAUGGUAAAAAUGAGCAGAGUUUAUUGAAUAAUCUUGAGAGUUCAGUCUACAGGCAUGCGCGCGAGUACUUCAAAACAGCGCGCGAGACAUUCAAAACUACAAUGGUGGACUACAAGACUGUGUUUGUGCUGCUCAAGAUUUUGAGUUUAUUAAUGCUUCUCCAGCAAAGUGAUUGUAGUAAUAAAGCAAACUCAUCGUCCGUCCAGACAAAAUUACUCGAUGCUUUCGCCAUCUUCAUUGUUUGUAUUCACCGCCCUGUGGAAAAAUGCUUAUGUGCGCAGGCGCGUAGUGUUUCUUUACAAAGUGACAUCACAACUACUGGCCUGGCAUGCAUAAUACAGCGUUUUUAGUCGUUUUCACGGAUCUGUGUGAACGGGGAUCGUUUUGACAACGUUGUUGUCUGUACGCAAAACUUUUCAAAAGCACAAAGGAAAAACGUUUCCGUUUUUAGUUCAUCGUUGUCGUGUAAACGUACCCUCAGUGCCUCUUUGCUUGACAUCAUGGGAAAAUCAAAAGAAAUCAGCCAAUGGGGCCAGGGUAGCUCAGCAAGUAAAGACGCUGACUUCCACACCUGGAGUCACAAGUUCGAAUCCAGGGUGUGCUGAGUGACUCCAGUCAGGCUUCCUAAGCAACCAACUGGCCCGGUUGCUAGGGUGGGUAGUGUCAUGUUGGGUUAACCUCCUUGUGGUCGCUAUAAUGUGGUUCUCUCUCUCGGUGGGGCACGUAGUGAGUUGAUGCUGCGUAGAAUAGCGUGAGCCUCCACAUGCGCUAGGUCUCCGCGGUAACGCGCUCAACAAGCCACAUGAUAAGAUGCGCGGAUUGACAGUCUCAGACGCGGAGGCAACUGAGAUUCGUCCUCCGCCACCCGGGUUGAUGCGAGUCACUACGCCACCACGAGGACUUAGAGCGAAUUGGGAAUUGGACAUGCCAAAUUGGGGAGAAAAUGGGAGAAAUUAAAAAAAACAAAGAAAUCAGUCAAGACCUCAGAAAAAAAUUGGGACCUCCACAAGUCUGGUUCAUCCUUGGGAGCAAUUUCCAAAUGCCUGAAGGUACCACGUUCAUCUGUACAAACAAUAGUACACAAGUAUAAACACCAUGGGACCACACAGCCAUCAUUUCACUCAGGAAGGAGACGCAUUCUGUCUCCUUGAGAUGAACAUAGUUUGGAAUGAAAAGUGCAAAUCAAUCCCAGAACAACAGCAAAAGACCUUGUGAAGAUGCUGGAUGAAACAGGCAGACAAGUAUCUAUAUCCACAGUAAAACGAGUCUUAUAUCGACAUAACCUGAAAGGCUGCUCAGCAAGGAAGAAGCCACUGCUCCAAAACCGCCAUAAAAAAGCCAGACUACAGUUUGCAAGUGCACAUGGGGACAAAGAUCUUAUUUUUUGGAGAAAUUUCCUCUGGUCUGAUGAAAUAAAAAUGGAAAGUUUUGGCCAUAAUGACCAUCGUUAUUUUUGGAGGAAAAAGGGUGAUGCUUGCAAGCCGAAGAACACCAUCCCAACCGUGAAGCAUGGGGGUGGCAGUAUCAUGUUGUGGGAGUGCUUUGCUGCAGGAGGGACUGGUGCACUUCACAAAAUAGAUGGCAUCAUAAGGAAGAAAUGUUAUGUGGAUAUUGAAGCAACAUCUCAAGACAUCAGCCAGGAAGUUAAAGCUCAGUCGCAAAUGGGUCUUUCAAAUGGACAAUGACCCCAAGCAUACCUCCAAAGUUGUAGCAAAAUGGCUUAAGGACAACAAAGUCAAGGUAUUAGAGUGGCCAUCACAAAGCCCUGACCUCAAUCCGAUAGAAAAUUUGUGGGCAGAACUGAAAAAGCAUGUGCGAGCAAGGAGGCCUACAAACCUGACUCGGUUACACCAGUUCUGUCUGGAGGAAUGGGCCAAAAUUCCAGCAACUUUUAGUGAGAAGCUUGUGGAAGGCUACCCAAAACGUUUGACCCAAGUUAUUAUUUUAAGGCAAUGCUAACAAAUACUAACAAAGUGUAUGUAAACUUCUGACCCACUGGGAAUGUCAUGAAAUAAAUAAAUCACAAAUGAGCUGAAAUAAAUAAUUCACAUUCUUUAAAUAAAGUAGUGAUACUAACUGACCUAAGACAGGGAAUGUUUUGUAUGAUUAAAUGUCAGGAAUUGUGAAAAACUGAGUUUAAAUGUAUUUGGCUAUGGUGUAUGUAAGUUUUG